rnacentral:rRNA from 1 species
GAUGAACGCUGGCGGUAUGCUUAACACAUGCAAGUCGAACGGUGUCUUCGGACACAGUGGCGGACGGGUGAGUAACGCGUGAGAAUCUGGCUUCAGGUCGGGGACAACCACUGGAAACGGUGGCUAAUACCGGAUGUGCCGCAAGGUAAAAGGCUUGCUGCCUGAAGAUGAGCUCGCGUCUGAUUAGCUAGUAGGUGGGGUAAGAGCCUACCUAGGCGACGAUCAGUAGCUGGUCUGAGAGGACGAUUAGCCACACUGGGACUGAGACACGGCCCAGACUCCUACGGGAGGCAGCAGUGGGGAAUUUUCCGCAAUGGGCGAAAGCCUGACGGAGCAAUACCGCGUGAGGGAGGAAGGCUCUUGGGUCGUAAACCUCUUUUCUCAGGGAAUAAGAAAGUGAAGGUACCUGAGGAAUCAGCAUCGGCUAACUCCGUGCCAGCAGCCGCGGUAAUACGGAGGAUGCAAGCGUUAUCCGGAAUGAUUGGGCGUAAAGCGUCCGCAGGUGGCUGUGUAAGUCUGCUGUUAAAGAGUGAGGCUCAACCUCAUAAAAGCAGUGGAAACUACACGGCUAGAGUGCGUUCGGGGCAGAGGGAAUUCCUGGUGUAGCGGUGAAAUGCGUAGAUAUCAGGAAGAACACCGGUGGCGAAAGCGCUCUGCUAGGCCGCAACUGACACUGAGGGACGAAAGCUAGGGGAGCGAAUGGGAUUAGAUACCCCAGUAGUCCUAGCCGUAAACGAUGGAUACUAGGCGUGGCUUGUAUCGACCCGAGCCGUGCCGUAGCUAACGCGUUAAGUAUCCCGCCUGGGGAGUACGCACGCAAGUGUGAAACUCAAAGGAAUUGACGGGGGCCCGCACAAGCGGUGGAGUAUGUGGUUUAAUUCGAUGCAACGCGAAGAACCUUACCAAGACUUGACAUGUCGCGAAUCCUGCUGAAAGGUGGGAGUGCCUUCGGGAGCGCGAACACAGGUGGUGCAUGACUGUCGUCAGCUCGUGUCGUGAGAUGUUGGGUUAAGUCCCGCAACGAGCGCAACCCUCGUUUUUAGUUGCCAGCAUUAAGUUGGGCACUCUAGAGAGACUGCCGGUGACAAACCGGAGGAAGGUGGGGAUGACGUCAAGUCAGCAUGCCCCUUACGUCUUGGGCUACACACGUACUACAAUGCUACGGACAGAGGGCAGCAAGCUAGCGAUAGCAAGCAAAUCCCGUAAACCGUAGCUCAGUUCAGAUCGCAGGCUGCAACUCGCCUGCGUGAAGGAGGAACCGCUAGUAAUUGCAGGUCAGCAUACUGCAGUGAAUUCGUUCCCGGGCCUUGUACACACCGCCCGUCACACCAUGGAAGCUGGCAACGCCCGAAGUCAUUACUCCAACCUUUCGGGGGGGAGGAUGCCUAAGGCAGUGCUGGUGACUGGGGUGAA